GCCUGGGUGGCUCGGUUGGUUGAGCGUCUGACUGUUACUCAGGUUGUGAUCUCACCGUCGUGGGAUCGAGCCCCACCUCGGGCU